rnacentral:misc_RNA from 1 species
UCCGAAUUGACGGGGGCCCGCACAAGCGGCGGAGCAUGUGGCUUAAUUCGAGGCAACGCGAAGAACCUUACCUGGGCUUGACAUGCAGGAGACCGGGGUAGAAAUAUCCUUUCCUCGCAAGAGGCUGCUGUAUAGGUGCUGCAUGGCUGUCGUCAGCUCGUGUCGUGAGAUGUUGGGUUAAGUCCCGCAACGAGCGCAACCCUCAUCCCUAGUUGCCACCGGGUAAUGCCGAGCACUCUAGUGAAACCGCCCCGGAUAACGGGGAGGAAGGUGGGGAUGACGUUCCGCAACUAACCA